CAGUAGCCACGGGAAUACGAAGGGUGCAAGCGUUACUCGGAAUUACUGGGCGUAAAGCGUGCGUAGGUGGUUGUUUAAGUCUGCUGUGAAAGCCCUGGGCUCAACCUGGGAAUUGCAGUGGAUACUGGGCAACUAGAGUAAGGUAGAGGAUAGUGGAAUUUCCGGUGUAGCAGUGAAAUGCGUAGAGAUCGGAAGGAACAUCUGUGGCGAAGGCGACUAUCUGGGCCAUUACUGACACUGAGGCACGAAAGCGUGGGGAGCAAACAGGAUUAGAUACCCCCGUAGUCCCUGUCUCUUAUAC
rnacentral:rRNA from 1 species